rnacentral:sRNA from 1 species
CAGGUGCUGGCUGGCCUUCCUUCUAAUGAGGGUGCUAUCCAGGGGUGGCUUUCAAAGACUGAAGGGCAGGCACCUACCUCAGCUCAUGCCCCAGUCAGCUGCUCCUCAGGUGGCUGAGGAGGGCCCGUUCCCAGGAAUGAUACUGCAGACAAAUAUAAAGGCCAUCGUUCCCCUAGGUCCCUUCCUGGGGAGGUUGAAACUCAGGAAGCUGCCCAAAGUGGCUGUUGCUUAUGAGCGGGGCCUUGAAGCCCAAGGAUAUGCAGUUUUUUUUGUUUUUUUUUUUUUUUUGAGAUGGAGUCUUGCCCUGUCGCUAGGCUGGAGUGCAGGGUGUCAUCUUGGCUCACUGCAACCUCCGACUCCCUGGUUCAAGCGAUUCUUCUGCCUCAGCGUCCCGAGUAGCUGGGAUUACAGGCACGUGCCACCACACCCAGAUAGUUUUUGUAUUUUUAGUAGAGAUGGGGUUUCACCAUGUUGGCCAGGAUGGUCUCGAUCUCCUGACCUCGUGAUCCACCUGCCUCAGCCUCCAAAAGUGCUGGGAUUACAGUCAUGAGCCACCGCGCCUGCCCGGAUACGUGAAUAUUUUAUCUAGCAGUGAAUGAAGGUGUGGGGUGCCCAGCAAGGAGCUGUAGGGGUCUCAGUCAUGAGGACACAGCAGGAAAAGGACAGACGAGAAUGGCAGCAUGCGCAUGGUCAGUGCUGCCCAAAGGCAGGGCAGGCAGGAGGAUGGGGUGGGAUGGUGGGGGUCCCAGCAGGCUGGGGGCAGGGCACCUGCCCGCCUAGCACAGUUGGGCGCAGCAAGCUGAGGGGCCAGAAGAAAACUAAAGGGUGUGGUGAUUCCAGCAAACCCAAGGUCAGAUUUCAGAGCAGAAAGUUGUCACUUGGAGAGCAGCAAGCAUCCGUCCUGUUGAUGUAGUCUAGGAGACGCUGUCACAUCACCUGAUACUCUGGAGUCUUUCUGAGAUAGGUUGGCAUCCCAUUUACCCUGUAACACCCAAAACUUCUUAUGUCCUGUUCCCCACCUGGGCGUUGUGCGUGGGCUGGGAACGGGAAAACUUGGGCAGAGCAGAGACACAGAGGGGGCGUCUGGUAGAGACUGCGUGAGGAACCCCCUAGGAGAACCGUGGGAUGCCUGGCAAGUCUGCAGUGCUGCACUCUGAAAUCAGUCAGCCACAGACACACAGGUUUCCAAGCGAAGCUCCCUCCCCAUGUGAUGGAGGUCACAGUCGCCCUCCCUGUCAUGCCUCCUUUCACCCUCCCAGCUGGGUCAGGUCCCCAGUCAGAGGCAGAGGUGAGCACAGUCUAGGGAAGCAACCUGCGGUCCACCCCCACUACUCACCCCUGCCUUUACAGCUGCGUGCGCUUCAGCCCUGGGAGGCCUGAUUCUCACAGAGCUAGAGCACCUUAGUGGCCCUGGGACUCAACUCUCCUGGGUCCCAGUCAGGACCCCCAUCCCAGUCCUGUGUGCAUUUGGGAACCAAGUCCUUAGGGCUUGAGUCUAAAUGGUCCUUCCGUAAGAAAGCUGAUUCUGGCACCAACAGAGAAACUGCCUCAGAUGAAGAGUGUUAGCACCUGAAGGGACCCCCAGGCCUGUCCUGACCCUCCCACCCCUGCUAUCAGCCCAACUUGUGUCCCUUUCUGGAAGAACCGCUUCCAGCAGCCAGUGUGCUAUGCUUCCUCCUGGCUCUGCCCCGCACCCCCAGAACAGCCCCUGGGCUUACGGGAGACACUAGUCUCUGGGCUUCUGCAGCCGAUCAAGCUGCUGGCCCCUCCCUCCCAAGCACUAGAGGAGGCACUUGUUCUGUGGGCCGCGGCCCCUCCCUCCCCAGCACUGGAGGAGGCACUCGUUGUGUGGGCCCCGGCCCCUCCAUGUCUGACAGAACUGCUCUGCUUCUCCUACAGUCCCUGAGAUUCUGCAGCUCAGCGAUGCCCUGCGGGACGACAUCCUGCCCGAGCUUGGGGUGCGGUUUGAAGACCAUGAAGGACUGCCCACGGUGGUGAAACUGGUAGACAGAAACACCUUAUUAAAAGAGAGAGAAGAAAAGAGACGAGUUGAAGAGGAGAAGAGGAAGAAGAAAGAGGAGGCGGCCCGGAGGAAACAGGAACAAGAACACUCUGAAUCUGAGGGCUUGGAAGCAAGUUGAGGGCUGGAGGUAUGAGCAGAUGUCGUUCACAGUGUGGAGCCCCAGGUGCUGCUCGGUGGCAGUGACUGUGCCAUGUUGCGUGUUGUAGGCAGCAAAGCUGGCCAAGAUGAAGAUUCCCCCCAGUGAGAUGUUCCUGUCAGAAACCGACAAAUACUCCAAGUUUGAUGAAAAUGGUCUGCCCACACACGACACAGAGGGCAAAGAGCUCAGCAAAGGGCAAGCCAAGAAGCUGAAGAAGCUCUUCGAGGCUCAGGAGAAGCUCUACAAGGAAUAUUUGCAGAUGGCCCACAAUGGAAGCUUCCAGUGAGGGGCACAGGACUGACUUUUUAAACCAUUGUGGACUAGUGGCUGCUGUCUGCCUCAGUGACAACGCCCCAGUGCUCCAAUCAUGUUUACAGUCGCCCUUGGGUCCUAAAUUAAGAGUUGUGUUCAUGUAGGUUCAUGUCGUCGUUGGCUCUGAGACAUUGAUAAUAAAUUUUUCUGAACAGUG